AUACGGAGGGAGCAAGCGUUAUUCGGAAUCACUGGGCGUAAAGGAUGCGUAGGCGGGUAAUCAAGUUGAGAGUGAAAUCCUAUGGCUUAACCAUAGAACUGCUCUCAAAACUGGUUACCUAGAAUAUGGAAGAGGCAGAUGGAAUUAGUGGUGUAGGGGUAAAAUCCGUAGAGAUCACUAGGAAUACCGAUUGCGAAGGCGAUCUGCUGGGACAUUAUUGACGCUGAGGCAUGAAAGCGUGGGGAGCAAACAGGAUUAGAAACCCGGGUAGUCC
rnacentral:rRNA from 1 species